UACGAACUGUGCAAACGUUAUUCGGAAUCACUGGGCUUAAAGGGUGCGUAGGCGGCUUGUUAAGUAGGGUGUGAAAUCCCAAGGCUCAACCUUGGAAUUGCGCCCUAAACUGGCGAGCUGGAGUGAGAUAGGGGUGUGUGGAACUUCCAGUGGAGCGGUGAAAUGUGUUGAUAUUGGAAGGAACGCCAGUGGCGAAAGCGACACACUGGGUCGCAACUGACGCUGAGGCACGAAAGCCAGGGGAGCAAACGGG
rnacentral:rRNA from 1 species